rnacentral:rRNA from 1 species
UACAGAGACUGCAAGCGUUAUUCGGAUUCACUGGGCGUAAAGGGUGCGCAGGCGGCCGUGUGUGUGAGGCGUGAAAGCCCGGGGCUCAACCCCGGAAUUGCACCUCAAACUACAUGGCUAGAGCAUUGGAGAGGGUAGCGGAAUUCACGGUGUAGCAGUGAAAUGCGUAGAUAUCGUGAGGAACACCAGAGGCGAAGGCGAGUCUCUGGACAUUUCCUGACGCUGAGGCACGAAAGCCAGGGGAGCAAACGGG